UAAUAGCUCAGCUGCUAGAGCACGAGUCUCUCAAUCUCAGGGUUGUGGGUUUGAGCCCCACACCGGACAAAA